UUUUACCAAUAACCUGUUCACCAGCUUAGUGCUGUUGUUGCAACUGCGUUGUUUUCUGGACAAUUCCAGAGACUCAAAGGUAAUUUAUUUGUCACAGAUAUUAUCUAUCAGUAUUGAUUAUCACAAAACAUAAUAAACAAUAACUUGGUAUUAAACCCAUUCCUCAGAUGAAGUUUCCAGUGGAAGACAUGUGGAUGUGCCCUGUAAAUGAGCUCACUGGAUUUUGGUGAUUGUUCGCAUCUCAGAAAAGGUACUUGUGGUGAUUGAGCCACUGGCAAACGAAGGUGCCUGUGAGCGUAAACUACUACGAAACUGGAGGAAUUUCUUGAGGAUGACAGAGUGUGGUGACCAGGGAGCAAAAUGGACAGUACAAACAAUGAAGCACAACAAGCAGCAAGAUUCCAACAGCUGUGGCAUUUUAGUGUUGAUGUUUGCAGAAGAGUAUCUGAAGAGGGGAGACAUCAGUACUGUCCAGUCAUCUCCACAAGCUGUUCAGAAGGCACGAUUUGAGGUGGCUUGUGCAUUGCUUCAGUGUAAAGGGAAUGUAGAGUAAUACUGUGUGGUGUGCUCCUUCAUCCAAACUGAUGCAGAUGAAAGCAUGAUUGAAAUGGUAAAGUACAAAUAAAAUGCGCUUUGUAUUAUUAAUUGACUCACAAAUGUGUGCGCAUAUUACCAUUUAUUAUCCAAUUGUAGAGAUUUA